CCGAAAGGGUGACGAAGCGACGCCGCGUGGGUGAGGAAGGCCUUCGGGUUGUAAAGCCCUGUCAGGAGUUAAGAAAUGUAGGUACGCUAAUAUCGUAUCUAUUUGACAAAGGCUCCAAAGGAAGCCACGGCUAACUCUGUGCCAGCAGCCGCGAUAAUACAGAGGUGGCAAGCGUUGUUCGGAAUUAUUGGGCGUAAAGAGCACGUAGGUGGAUUUGUAAGUCAGAUGUGAAAGCCUUCUGUUCAACGGGAGAAUUGCAUCUGAAACUACAGACCUUGAGUAUAGGAGGGGAGAAUGGAACUUCUGGUGGAGCGGUGAAAUGCGUAGAUAUCAGAAGGAACGCCGGCGGCGAAAGCGAUUCUCUGGCCUAUUACUGACACUCAGUGUGCGAA
rnacentral:rRNA from 1 species